ACCUCAUUUCUCCUCUUUUUCUCUCAUCUACUGCGGCAGAGACUGGAGGCGUUGGGGUGGCUGGGCAUGGUGGGUAGGGGAGCUUCCAGCAGAUGGCGUGAGGGCGGCCAUCGGUGGAAAUGCGGCCGCAGGAGGAGCAGCGGUGACCGAUGGGCUCACGGAGAGCAACAGCAACCGUGUCGAACCAGUGUCACAGUGUCGCAGGCGGAUAGGGCGAGGUUGAGUCACGGGCGGCGGGGAGGGGGGCGAUCUGGCGGCGCGGCGACCGGGCGUGCUCUAGAAAAUUGAUGGGCUGCGCGAUCUGGGCGGGCUCGACCUGCGCCAGCAGUGCGGCUGACGAGGUGGUUGGAUAUUAGUUAUGAAGGUUGUCUCUGAAUUUUUGCUCUAUCAAGGACCGCAUAAGCUUGGUCAAUAUGCAUUUUCUGGAAAUUCUAUGGGAGUCAGCCGUAAAGAAGGAAUUCCUACUGUAUCCUACGGCAUUCUUAGUCAGGUACUAAAUAUAACCAGAUGAACUAUUUUUGCAAACGUCCGAGUGCUAAUUACACGAGUUCAAAGAUUAAGUAUGAGUCCGAUCUAUUUUUCUAUCAAUAUAGUUUGAAGGUAAAUCGUUUUACAGUCAUCCCGUUAGAACUUGACUAGACAACAUGCAUGGUGGUCUGUAUUUUGUUGACAUAAAUGUUAAAUAAUUUAUAUCCACAUGAUUCUAGAAGUGCUCUUUUAUAAUAAUCCUCGGUACAAGUUGUAUCAGACUAGCAAUAUAAUGUUGGAUGAAUUGAGUUAAUUAAUUAGUGACUAUUUUUGCAUGAGAUAAUCAUUAACUUUAGUUAUGUAUGCGAAAUAUGCAUAAACAUUUUUUUGUGUUGUGUCCAUGUCCCGUGCAUAUAUGAUUUCCUUUUGCUACGUUUGUAUUCAUGUAACUACAGCAUCCAUUUGGCUGAGUUGCUUGCCUUGCUUCUACAAAUAAAGUCGUUUCGUAUUGGAAUUAUGAAAAAUGAUUUCUAUUUUCUCUGAAGACCAAGGAAUCAUAUUUUAUUUGUUUUCUAGAAAAGAUCGGCAUACUAAUUUUUCCUUAAUCUUAUUAUUCAGAAUUUGUUAUUGCCAUCGGAAGGUGUACUACUUUACUAUCACUACUACGGAAAACCUUAUACACAGAACUUUAGCAGUAGCGCUGGUUAAAAAAGGGCGCUAGUGCUACAUAGCAGUAGCGCGUGCGCUUGAACCGUGCUACAGAUACAGAUGUAGCAGUAGUGCUUCUUCGGGAAAAAGCGCUACUACUAAAAUUCCCACUACUAAGCCGAGAGGCUACAAAUAGUAGUAGCAGUCUUAGAGAAACCAUGUUACUGCUAAGAUUAUUGUAGCAGCGCGUUUGCCUUGAAAAGCGCUACUGCUAAUGAAAAAAAUGAAAAUCAAAUAUAAAAAUAAAUGAAAAUGAAAGAAAUAGAAAAAGGAGAAAGAAAAAAUAAAUGUAAAGGAAAAUAAAAGAAAAUAUAGAAAUAAAGGAGAAAGGCAUAGCAAUAGGUCUGUUCAUAACAGGCGCUAUAGAUAAUAUAGCAGCAGCGCAUUUUUUAGACCCCCGUUAUAGAAAGGGAAAAGGAAAUAAGAAAAGAAAAGGAAAAUAAAUAGCUAUAGCAGUAGCGCGUUUUGUAAAAGUGCUAUAGCUAACUUAGCUAUAGUGCGUUUUUACUUCUAGCGCUACCGCUACGUUUGACUUAACCCCCGCGCGGUUUCCUUCCCCCCGGCCACCACUUCUCCCCCAAAUCCCUCGCCCCACUUAGUCGCCGUCUCCCCACUUCGCCGUCGUCCCACUUCACCGCCGUCUCCUGCUGACGUCGACGCCCCCGGAGCCACCAGAGCCGCGCGUCAUCGACGCCGCCGGAGCCACCCCCAACACCAUUGGAGCCGCGCGGCCUCAUCAACGCCACCGGAGCCGCCCUCGCCGCCACCGAAGCCACCCUCGACGCCCCUGCCUCCCUCGCCACAACUG